AGCGAACGCUGGCGGCAGGCCUAACACAUGCAAGUCGAACGAACCCUUCGGGGUUAGUGGCGGACGGGUGAGUAACACGUGGGAACGUACCUUUAGGUUCGGAACAACACAGGGAAACUUGUGCUAAUGCCGAAUGUGCCCUUCGGGGGAAAGAUUUAUCGCCUUUAGAGCGGCCCGCGUCUGAUUAGCUUGUUGGUGAGGUAAAGGCUCACCAAGGCUACGAUCAGUAGCUGGUCUGAGAGGAUGAUCAGCCACACUGGGACUGAGACACGGCCCAGACUCCUACGGGAGGCAGCAGUGGGGAAUAUUGGGCAAUGGGGGGAACCCUGACCCAGCAACGCCGCGUGAGGGAAGAAGGUCUUCGGAUUGUAAACCUCUGUUCCUGGAGAAGAGCAGAAGACGGUAUCCAGGGAGGAAGCCCCGGCUAACUACGUGCCAGCAGCCGCGGUAAUACGUAGGGGGCGAGCGUUGUCCGGAAUAAUUGGGCGUAAAGGGCGCGUAGGCGGCUCUGCAAGUCAGUAGUGGAAGUCCCAUUUUCAAGGUGGGGGGGGCUAUUGAAACUGCGGAGCUUGAGUGCAGGAGAGGUUAUCGGAAUUCCCGGUGUAGCGGUGAAAUGCGUAGAGAUCGGGAGGAACACCAGUGGCGAAGGCGGGUAACUGGACUGCAACUGACGCUGAGGCGCGAAAGUGUGGGGAGCAAACAGGAUUAGAUACCCUGGUAGUCCACACUGUAAACGAUGAAUGCUAGGUGUAGGGGGUAUCGACCCCUUCUGUGCCGGAGUAAACACAAUAAGCAUUCCGCCUGGGGAGUACGGUCGCAAGAUUAAAACUCAAAGGAAUUGACGGGGGCCCGCACAAGCAGCGGAGCAUGUGGUUUAAUUCGAAGCAACGCGAAGAACCUUACCAGGUCUUGACAUCCAGGUAAAGCUUAAGAGAUUAGGUGUGCCUUUGGGCAAUCUGAGACAGGUGGUGCAUGGUUGUCGUCAGCUCGUGUCGUGAGAUGUUGGGUUAAGUCCCGCAACGAGCGCAACCCUUGCUGAUAGUUACUAACGCGUAGAGGCGAGGACUCUAUCGGGACCGCCGGGGACAACUCGGAGGAAGGUGGGGACGACGUCAAAUCAUCAUGCCCCUUAUGACCUGGGCUACACACGUGCUACAAUGGCCGAGACAGAGAGGAGCGAAGGCGCGAGCCGGAGCGGAUCUCAAAAAGGCGGCCACAGUUCGGAUUGUGGGCUGCAACCCGCCCACAUGAAGCCGGAGUUGCUAGUAAUCGCGAAUCAGCAUGUCGCGGUGAAUACGUUCCCGGGCCU
rnacentral:rRNA from 1 species